GUGCUCGCUUCGGCAGCACAGAUACUGACAUUGGAACGACACAGAGAAGAUUAGCAUGGCCCCUGCGCAAGGAUGAAAGUCAUCUCAAGCUGGGUAUACUAGACGUAC
ensembl:snRNA Gm25805 predicted gene, 25805